ACCACCCACCCACCCACCAUCACCAUGUGACAAAUUCACACCCAGCGUUCUUGAAAUUCUGCACGUGUGUGUUGAAUGUGCAGCACUCUGCGGCAUCUCCCAGGAUAGCGACAGACACCGAUCGAGAAGUAUUCAUGGGUCCGGCCAUUUUCUCCCGGCUGCGAGUGCUUCCUGAGCCCACAUGACAGAACAACCACCGGGAGGAGGGGGCAGGGGGAGGUUCUUAGCCGCCGUGGAUUAUGUGGAAAGCGACCACCCGUCGCCCCCAUUCUCAUUUCAUCCACCUUGAGUCCACAGUGCUUGGUGAGGAGGAAAAAAAAAAAAAAUGCUGAAAUGCUGAGAGAGAAGCUAACCAGCUAGCAGCUGUCUCUGACGUGCCAUAGCAACAGCCUGGAUCCGCUCAAUCCCGAUUGGGUAUAACGAGAAGUCAUGUGAUUAUUUGGACCAAUCAGCAAUGUUUGGUGCAGAACUAACGCGGAUCGCUUCUCAUGCCGAAAUAUGUUGUAUGUUGCCCCCUGCUGGGUUGAUGUGCGCCUCGGCCCUGCAUACCCGACGAAACAAAACAAAAAAACGUGUACACAGGCGGCAAGGGAGUCAACAUGCCACCUAAUAAUCCAUAUUUAAUUGUUAUAAAAAAUAUUGAAGAUUA